rnacentral:rRNA from 1 species
UAGGGAAUCUUCGGCAAUGGGGGCAACCCUGACCGAGCAACGCCGCGUGAGUGAGAAGGUUUCGGAUCGUAAAGCUCUGUUGUAAGAGAAGAACGUGUGUGAGAGUGGAAAGUUCACACAGUGACGGUAACUUACCAGAAAGGGACGGCUAACUACGUGCCAC